AAGCUGUCAAUCUCCCUCAAAGGGUUCCAACUUCCAAUAUCCCAGGCUAUGGAAAUGUUGGAGGCCUUUGCGGGAGAUUGAAGGC
rnacentral:sRNA from 1 species